UACGUAGGCAGCGAGCGUUGUUCGGAGUUACUGGGCGUAAAGGGUGUGUAGGCGGUUCUUUAAGUUUGGCGUGAAAUCUCCCGGCUCAACCGGGAGGGUGCGUCGAAUACUGAGGGACUAGAGUACGGGAGAGGAAAGUGGAAUUCCUGGUGUAGCGGUGAAAUGCGUAGAUAUCUGGAGGAACACCGGUGGCGAAGGCGGCGUUCUGGACUGCAACUGACACUGAGGAACGAAAGCCAGGGGAGCAAACGGG
rnacentral:rRNA from 1 species